rnacentral:rRNA from 1 species
UACGGAAGGCAGCAGUGGGGAAUAUUGCACAAUGGGCGAAAGCCUGAUGCAGCUAUGCCGCGUGUAUGAAGAGGGCCUUAGGGUUGUAAAGUACUUUCAUCGGGGAGGAAAAACAAAACUAAUAAUUUUAUUUCUUGACGUUACCCGAAAAAGAAGCACCGGCUAACUCCGUGCCAGCAGCCGCGGUAAUACGGAGGGUGCUAGCGUUAAUCAGAAUUACUGGGCGUAAAGAGCACGUAGGUGGUUUUUUUAAGUCAGAUGUGAAAUCCCUGGGCUUAACCUAGGAACUGCAUUUUGAAACUGAAAUACUAGAGUAUCGUAGAGGGAGGUAGAAUUCUAGGUGUAGCGGUGAAAUGCGUAGAUAUCUGGAGGAAUACCUGUGGCGAAAGCGGCCUCCUAAACGAAUACUGACACUGAGGUGCGAAAGCGUGGGGAGCAAACAGGGAUUAGAUACC